AUUGAACGCUGGCGGCAUGCCUUACACAUGCAAGUCGAACGGCAGUCACCGGGAGCUUGCUCCUGGUGGCGAGUGGCGAACGGGUGAGUAAUAUAUCGGAACGUACCCUAGAGUGGGGAUAACGCAGCGAAAGUUGCGCUAAUACCGCAUACGAUCUACGGAUGAAAGUGGGGGGAUCGCAAGACCUCAUGCUCAUGGAGCGGCCGAUAUCUGAUUAGCUAGUUGGUGGGGUAAAGGCCUACCAAGGCUUCGAUCAGUAGCUGGUCUGAGAGGACGACCAGCCACACUGGAACUGAGACACGGUCCAGACUCCUACGGGAGGCAGCAGUGGGGAAUUUUUGGACAAUGGGCGAAAGCCUGAUCCAGCAAUGCCGCGUGAGUGAAGAAGG
rnacentral:rRNA from 1 species